rnacentral:rRNA from 1 species
AGGGUUCGAUUCUGGCUCAGGAUGAACGCUAGCUACAGGCUUAACACAUGCAAGUCGAGGGGCAGCAUUUUAGUUUGCUUGCAAACUAAAGAUGGCGACCGGCGCACGGGUGAGUAACACGUAUCCAACCUGCCGAUAACUCAGGGAUAGCCUUUCGAAAGAAAGAUUAAUACCUGAUGGCAUAGGAUUAUCGCAUGAUAAUCCUAUUAAAGAAUUUCGGUUAUCGAUGGGGAUGCGUUCCAUUAGUUUGUUGGCGGGGUAACGGCCCACCAAGACUGCGAUGGAUAGGGGUUCUGAGAGGAAGGUCCCCCACAUUGGAACUGAGACACGGUCCAA